rnacentral:rRNA from 2 species
AACCCUAAUCAAUAGACAUACGGCGUAAAGCGUGUUUAAGAUUACUCCAACAAUAAAGCCAAAUCUUAGCUAAACUGUAAAAAGUCCUAGCUAUUGUAAGACCUAUUACGAAAGUAGCUUUAAAUGAUCUGAAUACACGACAGCUAAGAUCCAAACUGGGAUUAGAUACCCCACUAUGCUUAGCCUUAAACUUAAAAUAUUAAAAUAACAAAAUUUCUCGCCAGAGUACUACUAGCCACAGCCUAAAACUCAAAGGACUUGGCGGUGCUUCACAUCCCCCUAGAGGAGCCUGUUCUAUAAUCGAUAAACCCCGAUAGACCUCACCAACCCUUGCCAACU